UGGCUGCGCCCAUGUUAGCUUUUGGAGGGAAAGAUUGUUUGUAACUUGAAUGUGAGCUUUAACCAUGAAGCUGCCAGAAUCACAGUAAAGAGAUUUGAGACAAUGAGAUGCAGCGUGCUGCACACAGACAGUGCAGAUGGAAUCCAGGCUUGGAACACUGGGACAGUCUCAGGAGGCAUUUGGAAGAUGCUGGAGAUGGAGAUCCCAAUGUGGGAAUUCCACAAAUAUUAGACGAAAUGGAGCUGCACUGCCGUGGCCUCCUGAAUGGCAUUUUGUUGCUUAAAUCUUUUUUUUAAUAAUGUUUUUUGUUAAAAAAAUAAAUUAAAUAUACAAACCCUGUUAAAAAUAAAUAAAUUGUUUAACCCCAAAA